AGCUUUUUUUCACAUAAACAACAUUAAGCACCAUAAGCAUGGUGGCAAGCCCUUUAGAUAACCUAUGGAAUAGUUCGCAUCCUUCCUUUCCCCAGAAAAACUGGCACUGUUGUGAGAAGUGCUCCAGGGCCCUAAAAAGAGUGACCCUGCUAGAGCAGUGGAGGCUGUUUCCCUCCAGGGCUGGAUCCUGGAUGGAGUGGGGCUUAUGCAGAUCACCUUGCAGAGGAAAGAAGGAAGAGGAGAGAGAGACAGAGAUGGGGGCCUAAAUGUAGAUAUUGUACACUUUUACAGUUGCAGAUUCAGACUGCACAGUCCCGGACAGAUCCCCACUAAAGGUCUGGGUAAAAGUCCUGAAACCUCCUCUCAAUUUCAGAUGCCCUCCCGCCAAUCAGCUGACUCCAAGUGGAGCAAAGCCCAGGUCUUGACAUAGAUACAGAUAACAUACACGCCCAGAUGAUGUCACAAUCAGCUGUAUCUAAACAGAGCAGAGCUCAGGUGACAUCACAGAACAGGCAGAGGCAGUUCAGGGGUAUUCUGGUUGCCUUACCCAGCUCUGAAGUCUGUCAGCCUCUUCAGAUGUCACUUGCCAUGUGGUAAGGAAGUGUAGUCAGCAGCUGGUGCAGUGGGAAGAAGAGAAAGGAAGUUCCCCAAGACAAAAACAUCUCGGCAGACCGUGAUCAUGGGCUACAUUCUCCGUACCAGCUUCAUAGCUCCAGUGAGAAAAUAAAUUCCUGCAUCCAGGAGAUGUGGAGUAAGAGAUACAGCUGCCCUUGACCAUAUUUCUUACUUCCGAGAAGAUCGUAGCAGUAAUUCAGAAUCUCAUCCAGGAUACCUCAUCACAGGCUGGAGUGCAGUGUCAUGAGCUUGGCUCACUACAGCCUCCAUCUUCUGUGCUUAAGGAUCCUUCCCUCUCAACCUCCAAGGUAGCUGAGACUACAGGCAACAUUCGAAACCCAGGUGCCACUCCUUCAGGAAGGUACCAUCAAGCUCCAAGGACUCAUCCUCUUUCUCCUUCCCCACUACCUAGUCAUUAGAGCGUCAGCAUCCACUUCCUGAAAGGAAGAUGCCUGUUUUUCACAUAUCCCAGAAAGCCUCAUUUUAGGACAGCAUUUAGCAGAGUGUAUUCAGGAUCCCACUAACCUUUUCGGAAGACAUGACUUCCAGAUGAUAUAAGGCUCCAUCAGGAACUGUGCAGGACUGUGCACUCUGUUGAUACUCACAUGGUGGAAUUAUAUUGCCCUUGGCCAACCCUAAAGCCAUCAAGAUAGCAGCAACUACUCUAUCAUUACUGUACCACCACCUGUAUGGAUCUCGUUGCCCAUAUGAAACUGAGUAAGGAACAAUGUGCAUCACACUCACAGAGAAAGAUGGACAAGUUUGGAAUAAUUCACUGUCGAAGUCUUCUUGAGCUGAGCAGUCAUGUGAGCUUGGAAGAUGAUCCCUCUCCAGCUGAUCCUUCAGCUCAGGCCAUCAUCUACAUCUGGAUUCCUGACCCGGAGAAACUAUGAGUAAUGUGUGCUGCUUUUGAGCCACUAAGCUACAUGAAUUAAUGAAGGAUCAUUAUUAAGUUUUUAAUGGGUCAAGAGAAAGUUACCACUGAGGUCUUCUCUACCUGGGCAACAAUUGACUCCUAACAACCACUAUAAGCUUGGAAGAUGAUCCCUCCCCAGCUGAUCCUUCAGACUUCCAGUUGGUCGAAUGCAUGGAUGUGGAACCUGUAGAUAUGAAGGACCAACUGUACCACAAACUGUAUGGUAUAACCAACAUAAAUUGAUUCUUUUACAAUUCUGGAGGAUAAAAGUCUGAAAAUCAAUAUGUUGGCAGGGUCUUGUUCUCUCCAAAGGCUCUGAGGAAGCAUCAUUCCUUGCUUCUUUUGGUUUCUGAUGGUUGUCAACAACCCUUGGCAUUCUUUGACAGCACAUCUGCAUCACUUCACUCUCUGCCUCCAUCAUCACAUGGCUAUCUUCCCUCUCUUUGUAUGUUUGUUUCCAAAUCUCUUUCUCCUUUUAAGAAUAGAAGUCGUUAGUUCUUGCACCCUAACCCAGGACAACUUCAUCUUAACUUGAUUAUAUCUAGAAAAAAAUACUAACUCUAUUUCCAGAUAAGGUUACAUUCACACAUUCCAGGUGAACAUUAAUUUGCAGAAAUGCUAUUCAACUCAGUGAAAAUGCCUUUAACAGCAUUUUUUCCUUAUAUUUUGAACAAGGCACCCUGAAUUUUCAUUUUCCCUAGGCUUUACCCAUUCUAGCCAGCCCUGAUUGUCACCUUGUCAUUGAUAGAGCCCAUGUUGGAAAAUAUGGUUUAAUGAGACAGACAAAUGAGUCUGCUAGCUCAACUCCAGAAUUAUACAGACUUGCCCACUCUGUUGCAGCCAGUUGCUUCUAGACAGGCCCAUGGGAAAGAGGCAUGCCCAUAAAAGACACAUGCCUAUGUAGCAUGGAGGAGCAGAGACUUUUGUCUCUAUAGGAAGGCUUACUCCUAAGAUGAAGAAAAUAAGAGCAGAACAAAGCAUGGCCAAUUGUUCAUUCCAACUUUCUAGUCAGGCCAUUUCAUCUACCCAGGAUUAGAGGUCAAAAAGUAUACUAGUCAAACUCCCUUUACAAGGAA
rnacentral:lncRNA from 1 species